UACAGAGGGGGCAAGCGUUGUUCGGAAUUACUGGGCGUAAAGGGCGCGUAGGCGGCCGCCUAAGUCAGACGUGAAAUCCCUCGGCUCAACCGGGGAACUGCGUCUGAUACUGGGUGGCUUGAAUCCGGGAGAGGGAGUGCGGAAUUCCAGGUGUAGCGGUGAAAUGCGUAGAUAUCUGGAGGAACACCGGUGGCGAAGGCGGCAUCCUGGACCGGCAUUGACGCUCAUGCACGAAAGCGUGGGGAGCAAACAGG
rnacentral:rRNA from 1 species